GACGAACGCUGGCGGCGUGCUUAAUACAUGCAAGUCGAGCGAGGUCCAUCUGGUGGCAACACCAGUGAAGGCCGAGCGGCGAACGGGUGAGUAACACGUGAGCAACCUGCCCCGAAGUCUGGAAUAACAUCGGGAAACCGGUGCUAAUACCGGAUCGCCCCACCUGACCGCAUGAUCGGGUGAGGAAAGAUUUAUCGCUUCGGGAGGGGCUCGCGGCCUAUCAGCUAGUGGUGGGGUAACGGCCUACCAAGGCGUCGACGGGUAGCUGGUCUGAGAGGACGGUCGGUCACACUGACACUGAAUAACGGGUCAGACUCCUACGGGAGGCAGCAGUCGGGAAUUUUGGGCAAUGGGCGAAAGCCUGACCCAGCAACGCCGCGUGAAGGAUGAAGUAUUUCGGUAUGUAAACUUACGAAAGAAUAAGGAAG
rnacentral:rRNA from 1 species